UACGUAGGGGGCAAGCGUUGUCCGGAUUUAUUGGGCGUAAAGAGCGUGUAGGCGGCCAGAUAGGUCCGUUGUGAAAACUUGAGGCUCAACCUCGAGACGCCGAUGGAAACCAUUUGGCUAGAGUCCGGAAGAGGAGAGUGGAAUUCCUGGUGUAGCGGUGAAAUGCGCAGAUAUCAGGAAGAACACCCGUGGCUAAGGCGGCUCUCUAGUACGGUACUGACGCUGAGACGCGAAAGCGUGGGGAGCGAACAGG
rnacentral:rRNA from 1 species